GUGACACUCGGCAUGAGGAGCGGUGUUUAGGGAGCCCGUGAAAGCGUGACCGAAUCUUGAUCUUUUGUCGCCACUCCACGAGGACCUGAGCCAUUCCUCGGUUCUUCGACAAACAGUUCAUCGGUUCCUCUAUCAAAUUUCUGCCGCAGCCCCCAGCUUCAUUUCCGAGAAAUGAUCUGGCCCAAUAAUGGAGCGGGGAAAAUUUUGACCAUGACUUGUGACUCCCACUUUUCGGAGACUUCGUAUUCGUGAAAAUGUGACACUUUCGGAAUAUGGAUCAAAGCAGGCUAUUUUUCUGGACCGUGGCUAUCUACUCGUUUUUUCUGUGCAGUCCACAUCUCGGCAAUGCUCAACAUCGCGGUACUCCUAAAGUAGAAUCUCAGCAAACCAAUGGUGGAUUUACCGAUCAAAAACCUGCCGGCGCUGAUUCCCCACCACACAGAAGAGGCGUUACCUGACAUUCAACAAUGAUCAGAGCAAUAUUAGAGUAGAAAUGGUAUUUGCAGUGCCAGUUUUGGCCAUUCCUAUUGGAGGUAAAGACUCUUCUGACGAAGUGCCAACGUUUCCAACAAUCGACAUAAACACUAAAUCAAUUCUAGCCACUGGAGUGAUUAUGUUCAUGCUCUUCUUCAUUAUUCCCACUUUGGUCCGGCUCUACUUCCCGAUGCCGAGUUCAGACAGCUCUUCUGGUGGCCAUGGUCGCUCCUACACACGAUCAGGACGAGAAGAUAUAUUCCAGCUCUUAUCGCGCUUUGAAGAAACUAUGAAAAACUUCAACAUCGAUUCUGGGCAGUGCAGUCAAAAAGUUGUUUGCUGGAUGGUUUCGAAUGCAGCCAAUAGAGUGUCUGCGUCCAAAGCUACCAGCUUCGAUAAAAUCAUUGACGGCAUCUCGAGUUUCAGUUGGGUGCAGUACAUGCUGGAAGAUUCACCUUACGGCGAAGCACUCAGCCUGGGGCAAAAUAGAGAUUGUGACUACUACAACAAUAAAUGCUCCAUCACAUCAAAUAAACUCACGGUUGCAGCUAAUUCUUUGUUGAAUGCUAUCAAAAAGUCAAAACGCGAAGAAUCAGCACGGAAUCCAUCACCGUAGUUUCGGUUUUUCUCGAAAAGUCUUCUCAUCGUAAGAUUAGAGAUUUUCAUUAGUGCGCUCUCCUCUGGAAUCAGAGACGGAGCGUAUUUCGAAAUUCUCCGAUGCCUAACUCGGUUCCGUACUCCGGUCGACAUUCAGGACGUUUGUCCCAACUUUAUGAUGUACUGCCUCGCUCUCAACGAAAUCUUUAGUGAAACAAUUCACAAAGUCCAUGCAAGUCACCUAUUUUUACCUGUGCAGUCAUGAGUUGAUUCAGUGAAGCUUGUGUUCAACUAUUUUAUAUUUGCCUUUUAGUCUCACUGACACUUUACACUCCUCCUAAAAAUAUCUUUAAAAGUGUCAUAUUUCUUUAACUGCUGCUUCUAUUGUCUACAUGACAGAGGCAUUGACAGUUUUUCCUUCGUAGUCACCCUGUAGUUUUUAUUAUAUUUUUCCUUUUAGAGUUGGUUUUAUUAAUUUAUUAAUUAUUUAUUUGAUUUAAUCGUAAUUUAAUGAUUUUCCUAUUUUAAUUUAUUAAAAAGAAAACAAGGAAACUUUGCGUUGUUCUUUAAAGUGCAUUCUGAAAGUUGAAUUUUGAUGUUGAAUGAAUAGGAUCCUUUCUGUUCAUGUUGUUCUCCGACAAUAAUGCUCCA
rnacentral:lncRNA from 1 species